CCUACGGGAGGCAGCAGUGGGGAAUAUUGGGCAAUGGGCGCAAGCCUGACCCAGCAACGCCGCGUGAAGGCAGAAGGCUUUCGGGUUGUAAACUUCUUUUGUCAGGGAAGAGUAGAAGACGGUACCUGACGAAUAAGACACGGCUAACUACGUGCCAGCAGCCGCGGUAAUACGUAGGUGGCAAGCGUUGUCCGGAUUUACUGGGUGUAAAGGGCGUGUAGCUGGGUUGACAAGUCAGAUGUGAAAUCCUGCGGCUUAACCGCCGAACUGCAUUUGAAACUGUUGAUCUUGAGUACUGGAGAGGCAGACGGAAUUCCUAGUGUAGCGGUGAAAUGCGUAGAGAUGAGGAGGAACACCAGUGGCGAAGGCGGUCUGCUGGACAGCAACUGACGGUGAGGCGCGAAAGCGUGGGGAGCAAACAGGAUUAGAUACCCUAGUAGUC
rnacentral:rRNA from 1 species